GCCAGGCGUGUUGGCAUGCGCCUGUAAUCCCAGCUACUUAGGAGGCUGAGGCAGGAGAAUUGUUUGAACCCGGGAGGUGGAGGUUGCAGUGAGCCGAGAUUGCACCACUGCACUCUAGCCUGGGUGACAGAGCAAGAUUCCGUCUCAA
rnacentral:sRNA from 1 species